AUCAGUUUACUGCAUCCAGUAGACAACAUCACUGAUUAUAAUGGAUUCUAUUCUAUACCGGACGCGAAAAUUUUAUUGUAUUU